rnacentral:rRNA from 1 species
UACGUAGGGUGCGAGCGUUAAUCGGAAUUACUGGGCGUAAAGCGUGCGCAGGCGGUUCGUUGUGUCGGCGGUGAAAGCCCCGGGCUCAACCUGGGAAUGGCCGUUGAAACUGGCGAACUGGAGUGUGGCAGAGGGGGGUGGAAUUCCGCGUGUAGCAGUGAAAUGCGUAGAGAUGCGGAGGAACACCGAUGGCGAAGGCAGCCCCCUGGGCUAACACUGACGCUCAGGCAUGAAAGCGUGGGGAGCAAACAGG